UCCUUUAUUACGCUCGAUACUUCGGCCGAAGAUUCCCGAAUCAUAUCUUAGAGUAUUCUUCCUCUCUUAUUGAGGAUUAGAGAUUCCUUGUUGCGCAUUCACUUACCUUCAUGACUAAGUGGCUUAACCCCAAUUAUGUCGUGGACACCCGCGAAUGGGGUGACUUUGACAUAAUCAAAGAUUAAGUACUUAGCCACAAGACAACGACGAUGCCUCAGGUCAAAGGACUACUUACAUUAUUCCAACCAUUAGAGUUACUUGCUUGACAUGUGAGUAGACCUCCAUGCAAGUACUCUCGUUCGAUUGUGUUCAGUGAACUCAUUCCCUUAAUGAGCACCUACAUACUUGUCUUAGUGUCACCAAACGAAUGGGAUGAGACUUUCCAUCCUUCCAUUUGAAGCAGACACAGUAUGUACCGGUCUAAGCAUUGUCAGUAUCCCUCUGACAAUCCAAUGACCAGGAACCUUUUUGGACAUUAUGGUUAUGUGAAGAAGGUCUCUGUAGUCUAACAUCAUUAGAUUACUUAUUCAAUCGAUCCAUUAUCCAUGGAUUCACUAUUUAGGACAUAUAUCGUUUAUUGAGAUAGUCCUAAUUAGUAUCUUUGCCAUUUGAUG
rnacentral:lncRNA from 1 species